GAUGAACGCUGGCGGCGUGCCUAAUACAUGCAAGUCGAGCGAAUGGAUUAAGAGCUUGCUCUUAUGAAGUUAGCGGCGGACGGGUGAGUAACACGUGGGUAACCUGCCCAUAAGACUGGGAUAACUCCGGGAAACCGGGGCUAAUACCGGAUAACAUUUUGAACCGCAUGGUUCGAACUUGAAAGGCGGCUUCGGCUGUCACUGAUGGAUGGACUCGCGUCGCAUUAGCUAGUUGGUGAGGUAACGGCUCACCAAGGCAACGAUGCGUAGCCGACCUGAGAGGGUGAUCGGCCACACUGGGACUGAGACACGGCCCAGACUCCUACGGGAGGCAGCAGUAGGGAAUCUUCCGCAAUGGACGAAAGUCUGACGGAGCAACGCCGCGUGAGUGAUGAAGGCUUUCGGGUCGUAAAACUCUGUUGUUAGGGAAGAACAAGUGCUAGUUGAAUAAGCUGACACCUUGACGGUACCUAACCAGAAAGCCACGGCUAACUACGUGCCAGCCGCCGCGGUAA
rnacentral:rRNA from 1 species